rnacentral:rRNA from 1 species
AUUGAACGCUGGCGGCAUGCUUUACACAUGCAAGUCGAACGGCAGCGCGGGGCAACCUGGCGGCGAGUGGCGAACGGGUGAGUAAUACAUCGGAACGUACCCAGAAGUGGGGGAUAACGUAGCGAAAGUUACGCUAAUACCGCAUACGUUCUACGGAAGAAAGUGGGGGACCUUCGGGCCUCAUGCUUUUGGAGCGGCCGAUGUCUGAUUAGCUAGUUGGUGAGGUAAAGGCUCACCAAGGCGACGAUCAGUAGCUGGUCUGAGAGGACGACCAGCCACACUGGGACUGAGACACGGCCCAGACUCCUACGGGAGGCAGCAGUGGGGAAUUUUGGACAAUGGGCGCAAGCCUGAUCCAGCAAUGCCGCGUGAGUGAAGAAGGCCUUCGGGUUGUAAAGCUCUUUUGUCAGGGAAGAAACGGCUGAGGAUAAUACCUUCGGCUAAUGACGGCACCUGAAGAAUAAGCACCGGCUAACUACGUG